AAUAAAAUGCCUGAAAAAAGGGUUACUUUGAUAGAGUAAAUCAUGUAUUAUACAUACUUUUAUUA
rnacentral:tRNA from 1 species